AACGAUAUAUAUUUUCUAAUUCAUUCUCUUGCAGUCGUGAAAGUCAGUUUUAAAAAUGAACACAAAGGUAGCCAUUUGUCUGAUCCUUCCGUGCAUCAUCGCACUGGUUUCUUGUGCUUAUUUACCUGGUAACUAUGGAUACCAACAACCAAGACAGGUAGCUCCUUAUGCAAACUAUGCUGCCAAUAGUUACCAGGGUCUGAAACAGGCUAAACUCUUCAACUACCUUCUCGGAGGAUUAUACUUCUUAAACCUCUUUAACUUCACCGGAAACAGAAUUGCUGGUUAGAGAACAUUUUCAUGAGAAUACAGACGAGGUUUACAAGCAGUAUGAUGUACAGUCAUUGUCAAGAUGUAUGCGGGAGUGUCGAACAUCCAACACCAGAUAAAAAGAUCUUUUCUCAUCGUUCAACUAAGUUGUAGCAUAAUACCCCGUGUAUACACUUUUGUUAAUGUGAACAUCUUUCAUUCCUUUAAUCUAAAUUGUCUGUAUUUUAAUGCCUUGUUUGUUGAGGCAGUACAUUAUUGUUGUGAUAUGUUCUACAACAAUUGUGAAUAAAAAUAUAUCUUUACCAA